UACGAAGGGGCUAGCGUUGCUCGGAAUCAGCUAGGGCGUAAAGGGUGCUAGGCGGGUCUUUAAGUCAGGGGUGAAAUCCUGGAGCUCAACGUCCAGAACUGCCUUUGAUACUGAAGAUCUUGAGUUCGGGAGAGGUGAGUGGAACUGCGAGUGUAGAGGUGAAAUUCGUAGAUAUUCGCAAGAACACCAGUCGGCGAAGGCGACUCGACUGGCCCGUGUCCU
rnacentral:rRNA from 1 species